AGGCAAAAUCCAGGCACCUUGCCUUGGAAGCCUCCAGGCGAGGUGACUUCAACUAGGCGCUGCCUAGGCGAGGAAAGGCGAGAAAUUGCAAAAAAUAAUAAAAAAAAAGGUUGAGAGAGAAGUCAAUCAUGGCCACAUUCUCCUCUCUCUUUCAUUUUUUUUUUGGUUAAACAUAUCCAUUAUUUUUCUUUAUUCUUCUCUUCUAUCCCUUCGCAAAUUUUGAAAUUCUUUUUUUGUUGUCACUUUUUUUCUUAAACCAGUAUAUUAUUUAAAAUUCUGCAUAUAUUCUAUUUUUUUUGUCUAAAAUUCUGUCACAUUUUUAUUAUUCCAGUUGAGUAUGUUUAUUGUUCCUUUUCUUGUUCUUAUUAGUUCUUAUUAGAGUGUCG
rnacentral:misc_RNA from 1 species